GGGGCGCAAGCCCCGCCUUAAUGCGGCCAGAGCCGGUCCCCAGCCCGGAAAACGCAGAGGGAGGC
rnacentral:ribozyme from 1 species